GACAGAGGGUGCAAACGUUGUUCGGAAUUACUGGGCAUAAAGCGCACGUAGGUGGUUCGUUAAGUCGCGUGUGAAAUCCCCCGGCUCAACCGGGGAAUUGCGCGCGAUACUGGCGGGCUUGAGAUCGGGAGGGGUGAGCGGAACUCCAGGUGGAGCGGUGAAAUGCGUAGAUAUCUGGAGGAACACCGGUGGCGAAAGCGGCUCACUGGCCCGACACUGACGCUGAGGUGCGAAAGCUAGGGUAGCAAACGGG
rnacentral:rRNA from 1 species